UCUUGCUUUGAUGUGUCAAGACCAGCUGUCAAAAUACAAAGCCCAUCUGCAUAUAAACUGGAACCACCCUUUUUCAUAAUGAUAAUUUAGAGACUGAUAUAAUUCAUGUGAAAAAAAAUAUUUUUUUAGGUUUGCACAUUAUUUAUGUAGUAAUUAUGUAGCUUCUAUACACACUGUUAAGAGUUCCUAAUUUCCCGCUUUACUCCUUAAUGAACAUUAGUAAUACUAUAAUACAUUUUAAAAGGAUUCUGUACACAGGAUACUAAUGAAAAUAUCAGUUCAUAUCAGAAUAUUGCCGUGAGAUUAAAGAUGAAAAAAUAAAAGAUUAAAAAGACUAUCUCAGACACAUCAUACCUCUAUAGUGAUGGUUAGAAAGUACUAAUCAUUUCCCCUCAUCAUUAAGCAGCAUGUGAAUUUACUAACUGUUAUACUGAAAUGUUAACAUUGCACGGCCCGGACUGCCUUUUGUCUCUGCCGUUAAUUCAGAGCAGCUCCAAAGCCCCUUCAGUUAAUCGCAUUUGUCUGAAUAGGGAGUCUACAAGUCCUCAACUUCACGGUUAUUUCUGGAGGAUUUGUCACCUCCCCUAAGUCCUGCAGCACGAUUUAAAUUCUCUAUCAGUCAUGCAACCUGAAAUAUUUGACUAUAUGCCCCUUUUAAAUAGAAAUAGGCCUUUAGAACGCGAUGAAAAUCCUAUAAAAAAACUCUCAUUCUAUUCCUAUGCGAAUUUACAGCGAGUUUAUAAUGAUGUUUUUAAGUGUGGCAAUAUUCUUAUUUGAAAAACCUACAGUUUGUAUGCCAGCUAUAGCCUACUAAUGUACAAUUUUACGUGUUUAUUUCCAUAUAAUUAUUAUAUAUUCUACAUACCAUCCGAGUAUCCUCAGUAAACAUUUACAAGACACACAACUCAGUAUUAAUCCAUAGGAUUGGGCUGCUAAAAGCGUGGCAGCCCACUUCGACUGUAUUCCCUUGGUAUUUAUUGCAUCUGAAAAAAGCAGGUGCACUGUGAAUAAGGCAACCUCCAGCAUGAUCGGAAAUAAUACAUAUUAAAAUAGCCACAAGAUCAUUUAAUUUAAAAGCAUUAAUGGUGGACAGUUGAAUUUUGUAAUACUGUAAUUCUUAUUCUUUUUAUUUUUAUUCCGACCAAACUCGUCCUGUUCGGACUAUUUGUGGGUCAAGCCAGAAGAUGGUAAAAAAAGUCCCACACUGCAUUCAGUUUCCCAUAUUGCAAUUAAAUUUGUUUUCUGAUUCUAAAUUAUCUAAAUCCAAAAAAUACAGACCUCUGGGGCAUUUCUUUUUUUUUUUUUUUUGCAGGAUGAAUGAGCUAUGGCUUUGAGUAUUAAUCACAGUAACAUAUCCUUAUUUUUGGAACCAACAUGGCCACUUUUUAUGAAAUUUCAUCGUGAAGCUUUCCUCUUUUUGAUGCGUAGCUCUCCCUGACUAAAAGCCAUAACCCCUAUAUAAUUAGUCUAACUUGAGCAAAACAGUCAAAUAUAAAAUGUAGGCUAGUUCAUACCUUCCUCCGAGUCCAUCGUUGUGCGCCAUACCUGAAGCUACAAACUGCACUGAAGUCGCACCCAUCAGACAUUUUAGUCCUUAACCUAUUAUUAUCAUUUAAAGAGUUCCACUAAUAAAGUAGUGUUGAGGCAACACAAGCCUCCGGUCCGCGUUGCCCGCAGCAGGACUGCAGAAUUACAAUGAAACAAAAGAAAUCCAAGCGGCGUUCUGAACUUCCUGAGUAUCAAAUGUCAAUUUCAGCCCUGCGCUCCUCUCCUCUCCCCUCUCUCCCACCGGCUCCCUCUCUCUCCGAGCUUAACCUCCUCCCUUUUACCUGCGCUUCCAAACUGCACACUGGCAGAAAGGAAGGUGCUCCGUGCACCUUUUUAAAGGCGCAGACAAUCAAAGGGGCGACAGCAGGUUACACUGUAUGGGAAUAAAACAACAGCUCCGACAAAUGUGCAACUGGUUUAAUAUUCUGCGCCUAAAACCUUUAACACACAGCCGCUGCGUUUCAUAUUUUUACGUUAAAGUUUACACAUGUGUGUUAUCUAAAUUAGGCCGCCAGCGAGAACCUGUCCUCCUGUUUUUAUGCAGUACCCCCACCUUUUAAAUGUUCUGUUCUCAGUAAAACACUAUAUGCUACACUUUAAAACUGCAUCGCGUCUGAGGGUACAAACUGUACCGGUGUGUACCUGUUUUCAUAACAGUGGACGUAUUUCUACAAGCGGGACUCAAACAGCUUCCUUCCAGUCUGCCUCCAUCUGGUUUAGGCUGCGAGUCCAGGGAUUUGCCCGGUAGAAAAGACACAUUUUCAAGCAUCUCACCCCGCACCGCAGAAGUAAUCCAAGCUGCUUGUGUCGCUCCUGUUCUGCUCCGUUCCGAGAUCUCAGGAGGCAAGGAGACCUUAAAAGUGGGUCUGUUUUACCCCGGGAACUGCUGCAGUCUGAGCGGAUGAGGAUUGGUUUUGUCUCUUCGGAUUAAACGAUUUCCUGAGAAUAAUUUGGACCAACCCCCUGUUAAGACUGCCCCAACCCAAGAAAAGACACAUCUCUCCGGCCUUUUAUUGGAACACAGACACGUGUCAAUCACCUGACUGACAUUCCUGGCUGAGUCUGAUCUGGACACGCUGGAGCUUGUGGCGCGGCACAGGAUGUACAGUACAGAGAAAGAGGUGUGUAUACAGGAAGAGUAGAGUACCUUAUUAUAUACUGUAAGGCAAUAAAUUCAGUGUCUUACUACAGCCUCAAAAAACGACACAAUGUCACGAAAGAUUAAAGUCUCACAACAUUUGCAUUUAUUCCAGGGCUGUUGUAGUAACUGCAUUACAUUUCAGGGUGUUCUUGGUAUUUUGUCUACCCUUGUUUGUGUAUAUACAAAAGACAGAAAGAAAAAGGUAACGUGGACCAGGCAGACUGAACUUCAUUUCCUCAGGUUAUCACAAUAUACAACCAAACAAAAAGCAGCAACAAAAAAAAGCACAGUGAUCAUUAAUCCAAACAUCUAAGAAAUAUCAACCUGGAGAGUCAUUUCAUGUCUCAGCACCGCUACAGAAAUAAAGACAGACAGGAAGAGAGAGCAGAUUGCUGCGUGACAGAAUACAUUUGUCAGAGGACAGGAGAGGGGAUUAAACAGCCUUAUGUCACAGCAUUUAUUUUCCCCCUGCUGUGAUUAUACAGAGGGGGUUUCAACUGAGGAUAGAGGAGGAUGCAUGAGGCAGCGCCCUCGUCUGGCUCACUUGUGAAACAACAUCCAUCAUAGCAUGUAGAGGCUGCCCUCACAGCAAGGUUAAUCUCACACAGUCCAAUGUCCCCUUCAAAAUAAAACCCAGUCAGAAGUUGAGAUGCUUAGCAGAUUUGGCACAGAUCACUGCAGUAUACAAGACUUAUGCAAUGCUAUAUAAACCCAACCAGACACCGGUCACUCAAUGUAACAGUACUACAAUAAUAGAAUCACUACCAAACACACCAUUUUAGUGUUUGCUUUGAAGGGAAACUUAUUGGCCAGUGCUGUGUGCUUGGAUGGCUGUAGUCAUUCAUCACCCCCAUUUCAGACUGGAAGAACUGGGGUUCCAACCUCUCAAGUUUCACAGCACUCGCAGGGAUCAUGUCAGACAGUGGCCCAUAUUGUACAAGCUGACCAAGACCUGGAGGUGGGCAGUCCUGACACAGGAAUGUAGUGCCACACUGACACCUUGUGGAAGUGCUGCUAUUACAGGCUAGUUUUCUGUAGAACACAACAUUUUAUAUGGAUUCAAAGAGUAGAAACUGACCAUGAGAGGUUUUCUAAAUCUGUUUGGAUGCCAAAUUGGUGCAUUCCUGCUCAAAAGUUUUUUACAAAAAUUACCCAGGUAAAAUGCUCAUAGGAUAUAGCAAUUAUUCACUGGAAAUUUUGAUUUUGUCCUUUGUAGGAGACUGUAGUUUUGGCUCAUAUUAAGGCCAUAUGUUAUUGUGUUGAGUCUCCCAAGUGAGGACACCUUGGCUUUUCAGUGUGUUACAUAUGUGGCAUUUGAACCUGGACAAGUGUCUUUUUUCUGGAUUCAAGAUUCAAGUUUUAUUUGUCACAUGCAAUAGAAAAUGAAAUAUAAAAAUGUAAAAUGUACAUUAUGGCACAGUUGUAAAGAAAACUAUACAAUAUUAAAAUAUUGCUAAAAACCCCCAAAUGUAAUUAUCAGUUUUCACAUGAAUUUGGUGAUUGAUUCUCUAAGUGAACAUAAUAUGUGAGUUUGAGAGAAGUGUAAUCAUUUUGUUCACCUUGAACAUGUUCAGAGGACGUCAGGAUAUUUCAGCCAUCUAACAGUUGCAAUUCAGCUCACUGAGAGAAAGUUCUCCACAGAAUCAUAAAGGGAGAUUUAGACGUACACUUAUCACAUGAUAAGGAUCCACAGGUUCCAACUUGUAUGAAACAAAAAAGAGGACAAAGUUUAGAUGUUGGCAUUAAAAUCUUAAAAUGAGAUCUGUAAAUCUACAUUAUUUGUGUUUAGACAUCAUAUAUAAAUAUGCAACAUAUGCUGUUGUUCAUGCAUUCUGCAGUAAAAUCCUGAGGUCUUUCAGAAAACAGUUCAAUAACAGAUCAUACACUGGGUGCAACAGAUGAGAAUCAUAAGCCUCAGACAAAGACCUUUUAUACACAUUGAAUGUUUUAUUAAAAAAGAAGUUAUAACAGUUUAUUUUAUACACAACUAUUUAUGAGGUUAUAAGCCUAUUAAUAGAGAGCAUUUUGUCUUUUUGACAAGCAUGCCCACUUCACAAUGCAAAGAAAAAACAGGAAAAGGAGGGCAAAGAGGGUGAUAAAAAUAAGACCAAGGAUGGACUUUUCAAAACAAAAAAUAAACCUUUUGACUUUGUAACCCUUAAGUAUCACACACUAGGUGACAAAUACAUAGUUUCUAUUAAAAAAACAAAACAAACUGCCAUUUUCCAUGCUGUGUGUGCCUGUUAAAUCCCCUGAUGACAGCAGUAGGCCAGUAUAGGGCACAAAUCCACACAAGCACAAGACAGAAUGGGAGGUGUGCACCAAGCGAGCCUCGACUGCACACCAGAAGCAUGCAAGUGCACAAAGAGACACAGUCAACACACAAGGGGAAGUGAUAUUACAGGAUCAGGGUGCUGGCUCUUUGCGGCUGUGCUGAUAAAAUAGGAGAAUGGACCCUGGAUGCCCUGUCUAUGGAUUAAUGAUAGACCAGUCCAUUCACUCAGCUGAGACCCUUCGUUCUUAAAGUAUCCGGCAGGGUGUGGGGGAGUGUGCGUACGAUUGUGGGGCUAUGAGUCUGAACUGGACUUUCUCUGCAGGUUUGCAAUUAGAAUUUUGAGGCCGAUCAAUCCCAUCAUGUUAAUGUGGUUGUCUGGACUGUUUAAAACUGUGGUUGUUAAGAUAUUGUUUUAUGUGGUCUUCGAACAGAAAUGGGGGAGGGGAGAAAGCCAAAAGGAAAUUAAAUAAAAGCACAAUAAACAUGUUUUCAAAAAUAAUUUAGAAUUUAAGAUGCCAUGGGAAGCAUAAUCAUUCACUGGUUUGUGGACAUUUUUUUAAGUUCUUGACUCGAAAUGAAGACAACCUGAAACACAAAGGCCGUAAUUAUGUCUCUUGACAUCGAAAAAGUAAGCGUGGGAAGUAAAAAACAGAUGGGAACCAGGGAAGCCACUGAAAAGAUCAGAUGGUUGUCAUGUUUACCAGAUCAACACCAGGCCACAGCUGAGUAUAUCAUCAAUUUAUUGCCCAGCAGAUGCAAAAUAUGCUGAAAACCAAAUCUAUGAUUUUAACAAGAGUCUUGUUUUUGAAAAAGACAAAAAUAUCAUUAGUUCCCUGUUGCACCACUGCAUCAUAAUGUGCUAUUUUAUUACAAUUGUCAACUCGGACAAACUGUAUUUUCAGCACUCAAGUACAAUACUGCACAAAUGUAAAGUAAAACAAGAAUUCUAAUCUUAAUUGCUUAAAACAAAAAACUUAAGAUCAAGUUGUCAUCAGUGUGAUAAUUUAGCUGAACCAUAACUUACAAUAGUGGUGCCUGAUAACCAAGAUUAAAAACAAAAAAAAAUGAGGUCUCUUUAAUGAAUAAAUACAUUUAUAGGCAGCUUAGGGAGAAAACACAAGCCAAUUGUGAGAGUGGGGAUUUGCAUACAAUUUGCAGGUUUGUUCUGUUGGAGUGGAUGUGGAUCACAAAUUUCACCACAAACACUCUGAACACAUGUAAAACAUUCACAUAGCUUUAUACUACCUUGAACAUGUUGAAUAUCACAAAUGUUAGCUCUGCAGCAGUUAAAAUGGCUGCAUCUUGCUGGCAGCUAACCCCCGAGGUAACAUUCAAAACUUCCCCGGGCUGGAUGAGAGAAAUUAUCAUCCCAUAGCUUUAAACAGCCAAACUCUUUCAGAAAUUAAAAACAAAUUACGUGUCUCUGUUCUAAAUCUGCAUUCAAAUGUGGGUAUAAUUAUGAGCAUGGAAUUGUGUUUUAAAUCAUGUUUUUGGAGAAAUCCAAUCUCUUGAAAAGGGCUGAACCACACUUUUGAUUUCUGUACAGUUAGAACCAUCAGGCUCACUACAGGUCAAACAUCACCCUAGUUUGAAAUCACUCACACUCAUCUGUACAACUCUGAAUCUGCAAGAAGAGGACAAGCAGGCAUGUCUAUGGAGUAUCUUACAUAUAACCACACAACAGACACUAACUAAAAAUCAGAUGAGCAAUGAAUGCUUUUUCAGGUAAGUAUACCAAACUAGCUAACUAUCUGUAAUACAGCCAUAUAGCAUAUGUUGUUCAGUUGAAGUCAACACCCCGCAAAACUAACUAUCCUGACAUGUCAAAAACACAGUUCAACAAAUAUUAGCAUGAUUUCCAUCCUUUCAGUACGUCCCGGGUGAAAAUGUUAAUCACUAUGCAAGAUACAACCAAACUGUAUUUCAAACCUGAGCCAUGAAAGUCUAACAAUCCUACAUUAGCUCAAAUAAACCCAGUGCCACUCAGCCCUUGGUUACUCCCCUAAUCUGCAACAGAUUGAACAUUUAGAUGUCAAAUCACAAAUUACACAGGAUCAAAUUGCAGGAAGAGGAGAAUAAAAGCAGGAUGAGUAAAAACAAUGUGCUUUUCUUGUUACUUUUGACCUUCAUGGCUUUUUGGAAACAUGGUUUUUGGGGACUUCUUCAAUGGUCACUUGCCUUUUGUGAUGAGGCACAGAAGAGGGAGUUGAGAUCAGAGGUGAUAAGGUGACCUCCCGAGUACGAUUCAGCCUUGAAUCUCCCACUCAGGAUCCACAAUCUGCCACAAAGCAACCAGUGAUUCUUACUGCAAUCUAUGAAUACAUUUCAAGGUUUUCUAGGUAGUUUGACUGCCAUGUUAGCCUCGACAAGCAACACUCAAUCAGUGUUCUGGGUUUAACACUGAGUUUUCAUGAGGCUACAGAGAGGUGUCUUAUCACUGUACAAGGUAGAUGCUGUACAUAUAUAAAAAAAAAAAAAGAUCCAAAAGCGUAGACCCCCCCAUCGAGCAAGAAAUGUACAAGAAAUAAAAGAAGAAAAAACAUCCAAAAAUCAAAGCUGCGAUUGCAUUCUCUUUCCACGCAUCAUGGAUUUACAUCUUAACCUGCCAAAAUCAACAAUGAUUAACACCAGAGGUUGUUUUUUUUGUAUAGAUAAGAAGUCAAAUCUGUACAUAUGAAAUUAAUGUUAAAUUAAUUCCCCUCAACGAAAAUUGCCAGAAGCCUAAUUGUCAUGUACUGGGCUCUUAUUUUGUAACCUUCUUCAAACUCAUGAUCCAAAUAGAGAUCCUGGUAGGCAGUAAUAAAGUCCAGGAGUCCAGAUGAUGCAGUCGGGGUUCAUACCACAGGUCAGAACAAUAUGAAGGGCAUGCAUUGGAGCAAACACCAGGUAACAGUGGAAUGUGAGGAGGACCUAUACCACACAAACCUGAAUCUUCAAUAAAUCACUCUUUUUCUCAGAUUCACUCAAUAAUCAUAUGACCUUUUUUUUUUUUUUUUUUUUUUUUUUUUU